rnacentral:rRNA from 1 species
GUUUGUUGCCAUAUCUAUGUAGCAACUCUAUCUCCCCAAUCUUAGAAGCUAAGCAUGGCUGAGUGUGGCAAAUACCUGGAAGGGAGACCAUCUGAAGAGACCUGUGACCCAUU